AUUAAAUUUACUUAAAAAAAAAAGCAAAUGCAGAAAGUUGCAAAACUUUUUUUAAUGAAAAAUUUUACUCAUCAUUUUUUUCAGUGUGGUUGGAACAGCCCUCAUUUCUCUGUGGGAGGAUCAACCAACAACCAGCAAGAAAAGCUGUUGAACUUCCUCUGCUUUAGAAUAAGAUCCUCACUAUCAGGACUCAAAGCUUCAGCUCUGUUUUGGACAGAAUGAUAUUUAUUUUUGUAAUUUUAGCUUUACUUCUAACAGUACAUGCAUCUGAUGGAGUCAACAUUGUUCAGGAACCCAAAAUAUCAUUUGUGGACCAUCAGAGUUCCUCUGUGAUGCUACACUGUAGACAAGAUAGUGAUCACACAAGGAUGUUCUGGUACAGACGAAGACAAGAUACACAGGAUCUUGAACUGCUGGCUUUUUCUUUCGGUAAAGACAAUGCUAAAAUUGAGCCUCCGUUUGAUAAAGCUGAUAAAUACGUAAUGACCCGUCCAGAGGUGCUGAAGGGAACGCUGCAGAUAGAGAAGCUGGAGGCUGCAGACUCUGCUUUAUAUUACUGUGCUACAAGUC